rnacentral:rRNA from 1 species
UUGGAACUUUUUGGAUUCCGAAAUGUAAAGCUAUUACGACACUGAGCCCCUGACGGUAUAUAUAUUCACUCCGUAAAAAGAGGAAACCGUCUGGGAAUGCAAUAAGUGUAGUAAUAGUGGAUCAUCUCGGAGAGGUCAGCAUCAGUUACAAAGAAAAGAUUAGGGGUGCAAAAGGUAUGUCCUUCGUGGAGUGCUUUAUAGAUGCACUACAAUUUUUCUGCUUUUGUUUGUGACUGAAGUGUACUUUUUUAAGGAAUUUGAGUCAUACUCUUUAUUGAGUACUCAAAUUCUGUGAUGCUGACUGAAAUGGUUUCAACCGACCCGUCUUGAAACACGGACCAAGGAGUCUAACAUAUGUGCAAGUAUGCGGGUGACAAUCCUGUAUGCGAAAUGAAAGUAAGAGUAGGGAAAAGUUCAUUUUUUUGAUGUUCUUUGCACCUACGACCGACCAUGAUCUCAGAGAGAGGUUUGAGUUGGAGCAUAUCUGUUAGGACCCGAAAGAUGGUGAACUAUGCCUGGGUAGAAUGAAGUCAGGGGAAACCCUGAUGGAGGUUCGUAGCGAUACUGACGUGCAAAUCGUUCGUCAAACUUGGGUAUAGGGGCGAAAGACUAAUCGAACC